UACAGAGGGGGCAAGCGUUGUUCGGAAUUACUGGGCGUAAAGGGCGCGUAGGCGGCCCGCUAAGUCGAACGUGAAAUCCCCGGGCUCAACCCGGGAACUGCGUCCGAUACUGGCAGGCUUGAAUCCGGGAGAGGGAUGCGGAAUUCCAGGUGUAGCGGUGAAAUGCGUAGAUAUCUGGAGGAACACCGGUGGCGAAGGCGGCAUCCUGGACCGGCAUUGACGCUGAGGCGCGAAAGCCAGGGGAGCAAACGGU
rnacentral:rRNA from 1 species